rnacentral:rRNA from 1 species
UAAUACAGAGGGUGCGAGCGUUAAUCGGAAUUACUGGGCGUAAAGAGGGUGCAGGCGGCCUUUCAAGUCGGAUGUGAAAUCUCCUGGCUUAACUAGGAGGGGUCAUUCGAUACUGUUGGGCUAGAGGGCAGCAGAGGGAGGUGGAAUUCCCGGUGUAGUGGUGAAAUGCGUAGAUAUCGGGAGGAACACCAGUGGCGAAGGCGGCCUCCUGGGCUGUACCUGACGCUGAGGCCCAAAAGCGUGGGGAGCAAACAGGAUUAGAUACCCUGGUAGUCCACGCUGUAAACGAUGGACACUAGGUAUGGGGAGUAUCGACCCUCUCUGUGCCGAAGCUAACGCUUUAAGUGUCCCGCCUGGGGACUACGACCGCAAGGUUA